UACGAAGGGUGCAAGCGUUACUCGGAAUUACUGGGCGUAAAGCGUGCGUAGGUGGUUUGUUAAGUCUGUUGUGAAAGCCCCGGGCUCAACCUGGGAAUGGCAAUGGAUACUGGCAAGCUAGAGUGCGGUAGAGGGUAGUGGAAUUCCCGGUGUAGCGGUGAAAUGCGUAGAGAUCGGGAGGAACACCAGUGGCGAAGGCAGCUCUCUGGGACGGUACUGACGCUGAGACGCGAAAGCGUGGGGAGCGAACAGG
rnacentral:rRNA from 1 species